CACGCUAGUGACUAAGCGAGCAUCACUAGCCAUGGCUUCGUUGAAGAAAUAGUUGAGCUGAGGUUCAUGGCCAGCAUAAUCCCAUAAUGUCCGCUCGUGAGCAGUGUCAAACGGAGUGGGAUCAUCGUUUUGAAACCAAGCACUCACAUAAUGCCAUGGUUUAGUUAACGUUGGGUCGAGCAUGGCAAGCAAGAAGGGCCUUACGCUCAAGGAGUCAUCCUUUAGGAGGAGCCGAGAGGCAUGCGUAAGCACAUACCCCUCUUCUUCCUCACUCUGUUGGGCUCUUUGCGCAGCGAAGAAGUCAGAUUGAACAAGAACACGCAUGAGACGGUACACGUACUGGGUCUUUUUUGGGUGGACCGGGAGUUUAGCAACCAGCUCAGGAAGAGUCAUGGGCUUGCCAUGGUUGUGGAUGAUGUCUGGGAUGCCUAGUUGAAUAGCACAUUUCAGUGACAUGGAGUUGACGAAAUUGAAUAUGUGGUUCCAGACAUGAGCUUGAGCUUGAAGCAGCUCACUUGAUAUCUCACCAUUUGCCGGAUCCAUGUACCUCACACUGACCUCUUACGCUGCUAAUUUUUUUCAUAUUCCAACCUGGAACCUUAACCUCUUUAUAUAGCAUUGGGCGUUGGACCUCGUGAAAAAUAUAAAUUUCAAAAAUCAUGUGUGAAUUCUAGAGGUGGGUCGUUCAAAUGUAUACAAAAAAAUGGUUAUUCCGUCCACUAGAUUACGCUGUGGCAGACUCGAAAUCCGCCAGCACAUGCCACUCCUGUUGGGUCCUUGUGCUUUGCAAUAUUCACUUAUAAAUUAAUCAUUAAUUUUCUCUAUUGGGUUAAUUGACUGAAAUCACCUAAAUGGGACUAGGAAAGGGAUGUACAUACUAUUCCCAGUAAUAUUUUAAUUACAGCAGCCCACAACAAGUUUAUCGUGUUUAAUGGAUAUAAGAGAUAAGUACUAGCACGUGCGCAAGACUGGGUCCGUCCCAUCAUUUAAAGGCGAAAAGAUUAAGCUUCAUGCCAAACGUUUUCGCUGUAGCUUUUAUUUGUUUAGUGUAUAUAUAUACAUAUCUUUCAUUAGGAAAACCAUUUCCUCUUGUCUAACUAGUGUAACAAAAUUAAUUUAUACUUUUGUGGGGUAUUGGACCAACAAAAUUGGUCCAGAUGCAGAUGGCAGAAACUUGGCCAAAAGCAAAUAUAAAUUUUUGGAGGUGGACAAAACUUUUUAUGCCAAUGGCAGAAAUAUUUUUUAUAACAAGAAAUCUAUACAUGUGAUUAUAUCGAAAGAUAUGUUUCACAUGUUAGCAAUGGAUUACGGAUGAUAAUGACCUAAAUCGGAUGAUAAUAAUGAACCAAACAGGAUAGCGUGUUUAAGAAUUCCUUCCAAAUUCUCAAAUAAUGAUUUGAAAAGGUAAUCGAUCUAGAAUUUCAAUUAUACUUUUUUUUUUCCUUUUAUUCUUAUCUAACUUCACCUUUUUGUUGUUUUUUUUUCUUUUUUACACAUUAUUACUAUUAAUUAUUAAUAUUAAAAAUAAUAUUACUAUAUUUUGAUUAUUACUACUACAAAAAAUCCUAGAAGAUGAUUUCUAUUUUUUUUAAUUCUUAAAGUUUGUAAGUUUUAUUAAAAAAACAUUCUUUGUUUUUUACUUUUUAUACUUUAUGUACUACAUUAAGAGGAAUUAAAUUAUUAUUUUUAUUAUUAUUAACACCUCAUUAAUAUUAUUAUUUAUGAUAUUAGUUUAUAUUAAAUUAUUAUUUUUAUUAUUAUUAACACCUCAUUAAUUUUAUCAAAAUGAAAAAUUAUUCUCCUCCAGAAGGGGGGAGAGGAUUGGAAAGUAGAAGCAAUGGAGAUAAUGAGGAAAGGCAACAAUCAACCAAAUUACUCCUCUUCAGGACAGAUGCAAUAAAUAAACAAAAACAAUAACACUAGUAUAUUCCAAAUUCCACUGGCAUUUUGGUUCUUCUGUUCUGAACAGUAAAACAAGUGCUACAAAAAGGAAAAACAAACCUUCCGUCUUUGUUUACAACACUGCAAGAAAACAUUGCCACCUGGGGUUAUUAAAGACUGAAAAGGAGGUACCUGCUCAGGUGUCGACUUCCACAAAUUAAUCUAUCAAACUUCUUGACUUUAAGCCAAUUCCAGAACUAAAAAUUGCAGCUGUUCAGAGUGUUUGAGUCAAUCGAGUCCAUCCUCAUCUUUGUAAAGAAGCCCAACUUCAUGUGAAAAAUCUGUAAAUGGCCAUUUGGUGGAAAUUAGAAACGAUAAGAGUCAAUAUAACUGCUCAAUACCAUUGAACUAUACUAACAUAUACUCUGAUAUAUAUAUUAUAACAAUGCAUCAUGUAGUUAACACAUCUAACUACAUUAAGGCAUCAAGAUUUGAGCAGAAGACAUAUUCCAGCCUCAUCCAUAGAGUGAGGAAAAGCCACCACAAGUAUAGAGCUGCAGCAAAGGAACACAACAUAGGCUCACAUAUUUCAUUUCAAAACACUAAGGUUAUGUUUUAUUCCCAGAAAAUAUUUGAGGAAAAAUGUGGGAGAAAGAAAAUAAAGAGAAAAAGUAGAAGGAAAAUAAAAAUAAAUUUAAAAUAAAUAAAUUAUUUUUAUAUGAUACUUCAAAAUCAUUUCACUUAUUCUAACUCUUCUAUGUAAAAAUAAAUAUAAAUCCUAAUUUCUUGAUUUCAUAAGGCGGUAGAAACACAGCUAUUCAUAGACAUGCUUAUGAUGGUUGUAGUUGCGGGGAAUGAGAGAAAUGAGAAAGAAUGGGAGAAGCUAUUUUUGGCUGCAGGCUUCACUCACUAUAUUUCCUAAUCAUGUCUUUAAAUUAAGAAAGUUUUCUAUGGUUCAAAACAAGGUCCAAGAGGUUGGUACGUGUGAAAGAUUGUGAAAACUUCUUUGGGAAAUGGUUUUUGAAAUGGGAAAAGUAGAUAUAUACAACCAUGCUCAUAAAAAUGAUAAAUGAUUGAAGAAUUUGAAGACUAAAAUAUGAAGAAUUUGAAGACAAACUAUGGAGGAACACCUCAAUUCAUUCUGUGAUACCUUUCUUUACAAAGAAUGAAAGCAUAAAUAAAUAGCCUACAAAUAUGAGACAAUUCCGGAAUGGUACACUAUCACCGGACGGAAUUUCUCUUACAUGGAAAGUGAAUAAACUCUUACAUGGGAAGCGAAUAAACUACUCUUACAUGGAAAGUGAAUAAACUACCUUGCUAGAAUUACUCCUAAAUCAAUUAUAAUAAAAGAUGUACAUUACACUAAUUCAGGGAAGUAAACAGAGGAUGCUAAAUAUGGGGAGGAACAUGCAAGGUAGGAAGGCGACGUGGGCUUGAUUUCCAACACUCCCCCUCAAGCCACGUUGUAGAUGUUGAUCAUUCCAAGUUUUUCUAUCAGAUCUUCGAAGUUAACUCGAGCAAGAGCUUUUGUGAGAAUGUCAGCCGUUUGACAGUUUGUCGGAGUGUAGCUGACUUUGAAAACUCCUUCUUCAAUCUUUUCCUUGAUAAAGUGUCGAUCUAUCUCCACGUGCUUAGUUCGAUCAUGAUGAACCGGAUUCUUAGCGAUACUGAUGGCAGCUUGAUUGUCGCAGUAUAACACCAUGGGAUGCUUCAAUGGAACCCGUAAUUCUUCUAACAGCCUGUUCAACCAGAUUCCCUCGCAGAUACCUUGUGCCAUAGCACGAAAUUCUGCCUCAGCAUUGCUACGGGCUACCACUGACUGUUUCUUGCUUUGCCAUGUAACCAAGUUCCCCCAGACAAAUGAACAAUAGCCUAAAGUUGAUCUCCGAUCAGUCAUUGAACCUGCCCAAUCUGCAUCUGAAAAAAAUCUCAAUCUCUUUCUUUGUUGUUCUUUGAAAGAAGAGACCCUUUCCCGGUGUCAUCUUGAGGUAUCUCAAUAUUCUGAUCACAGCAGUCAUGUGUUUUUCGGUUGGAUUAUUCAUGAAUUGACUUACCACACUAACGGAGAAGCCGAUGUCUGGCCUUGUAUGAGAAAGAUAGAUGAGUUUCCCCACAAGAUGUUGAUAUCUUCCUUUAUCAACUGGCGCACUUCCAUCACUUUCUUCCAGUUUGACAGUUGUAUCCAUAGGUGUUUCUGCCGGCUUGCAUCCUAGCAUUCCUGUUUCAUUCAAUAAGUCCAGAACGUAUUUGCGUUGUGAGACUGCUAUACCUUUCUUUGACCUAGCAAUCUUCAUUCCGAGAAAGUACUUGAGGUUUCCAAGAUCCUUGAUCUCAAAUUCCUUUGUCAGUAAUUUUUUAAGUAAGUCAAUUUUCUCUUCAUGAUCACCUGUCAAAAUUAUGUCAUCCACAUAUACAAUGAUAAUUGCCAGUUUCCCUNNNNNNNNNNNNNNNNNNNNNNNNNNNNNNNNNNNNNNNNNNNNNNNNNNNNNNNNNNNNNNNNNNNNNNNNNNNNNNNNNNNNNNNNNNNNNNNNNNNNCCACUGUUCCCGUGCCACCCCCUACAUCAACUAACGAAUUCAACCCCUCAAAUACGCCCUUGCCCUCCUUAACCAGCACGCUAGUGACUAAGCGAGCAUCACUAGCCAUGGCUUCGUUGAAGAAAUAGUUGAGCUGAGGUUCAUGGCCAGCAUAAUCCCAUAAUGUCCGCUCGUGAGCAGUGUCAAACGGAGUGGGAUCAUCAUUUUGAAACCAAGCACUCACAUAAUGCCAUGGUUUAGUUAAAGUUGGGUCGAGCAUGGCAAGCAAGAAGGGCCUUACGCUCAAGGAGUCAUCCUUUAGGAGAAGCCGAGAGGCAUGCGUAAGCACAUACCCCUCUUCUUCCUCACUCUGUUGGGCUCUUUGCGCAGCGAAGAAGUCAGAUUGAACAAGAACACGCAUGAGACGGUACACAUACUGGGUCUUUUUUGGGUGGACUGGGAGCUUAGCAACCAGCUGAGGAAGAGUCAUGGGCUUGCCAUGGUUGUGGAUGAUGUCUGGGAUGCCUAGUUGAAUAGCACAUUUCAGUGACAUGGAGUUGACGAAAUUGAAUAUGUGGUUCUCUAAUUGGUUUCCAUUCUUGCUGUUAUUGACUAGUCAAUUGUUCCACACACAAUUGAGUACUAUUGAGG
rnacentral:lncRNA from 1 species